AGCAGUAGCCACGGGAAUACAGAGGGUGCGAGCGUUAAUCGGAUUUACUGGGCGUAAAGCGUGCGUAGGCGGCUUUUUAAGUCGGAUGUGAAAUCCCUGAGCUUAACUUAGGAAUUGCAUUCGAUACUGGGAAGCUAGAGUAUGGGAGAGGAUGGUAGAAUUCCAGGUGUAGCGGUGAAAUGCGUAGAGAUCUGGAGGAAUACCGAUGGCGAAGGCAGCCAUCUGGCCUAAUACUGACGCUGAGGUACGAAAGCAUGGGGAGCAAACAGGAUUAGAUACCCCUGUAGUCCCUGUCUCUUAUAA
rnacentral:rRNA from 1 species